CCUCCCCUUUCGUCCCUUUUCUACUUUCGUCCCGCUCCUCGCCUCUCUUUUCUGCAUUUAUCGCUUUCCCUUUACUUUGAAAAUGACUGCUAAAGGAACAUUUCUCGUUAUUUAUAAAACAAUGGUAAAGAGCGCAAACUGCAUUUGGUCCAGAAUGCGAAAAUGAAGCCAAAGGGUCCUUAUUCGUCUUGAAGAAACUGCAGAGGCCUGGAAUAUGCAUUUGCCACGCAGGAGACAUUCGUGUGCGGUCCUCGGGGCAGUGACCUGCGGUCCAGCCGCCCUCUUUCCUCCCCCCCGCCUGCCCAGUGUUCAGACUACCUGUUCAUCAUGCUGCAGCUGAACAGUAGUCCGCACAUUGGUUAGGCUGGGCUGGGACACACACACCCGUGGCUCGAGUACAAGGACUCUACCAUUCGCUGCUGGACUCGGGGGGGAUUUCACAUAUAAACAAUCUUUCUUUGGGGAAUAAAGUGAGACAUUUCCAUUGAAGUUGCUUUGGAUGAAAGCAAAUGUAUGUGCUCGCAGGGAAAGAAACCCAAGGCCUUGAUGUUACUCGCACCACACUCAUCCAGUAAAGCCACAGGAACUUUGGAAAACAGCUAACGUUUGCACUAAUUUCAAACACACAUGAAGUUCGAGUCCGACUUGAGUGGCACUAGUUUUAAGUUCAAGCGAAAGGGGGAGGGUCUGUAAAUGAGAAAUGAAGAACAGAUGAAUCUUACCUCCUCGUCCUUGUACCAGGACAGUGAUUCGGCCGUCAGGACGAACCAGUACUCCUUGGAGCCACCCUUCAUAAUGCUGAUGUGGAGGGUUAGCCAGCCUUUACGGAUCACCUGUGGUACAGAGGGGAGUGGGGUGGGGGGGUUUGCAUGCCACAAGAGUGGGGAAAGAUUAUGAGAUCCACAGUCUUUGUGCAAUAAACUUGUGUCCUAUGCUGAACCAACCUGAAAACCAUAUUGUGCAAACCUGUACUUACCUGAUGUGGAAAUAUUUUGUGUAAAUUUGGUUGCCUUCUAUUGUGGUCAACGUGACUAACUAAACUACUCCGAUUUGUACAUUACAUCAAUGGUUCUUGACUUGUUUCCAAAAAUCACUAAAUUUUUUCAGGCAAAAUUGGUCCUUUGUCCACUAGUCCACUGUUUUUCAGUUUGGUAAAAAAAAAAAAAAAAAUUCAGGUCAAAAAGGUUCAUUCUUAGUAAGUUUCAUUGCCAAUCCCAAACAAAAAAUUAACCAUGGUUGUAUUAUAGUAAAGGUGUAGUAACAGUUUUUUUUUUUUUGCCAUUUCGAUUACUAAUUGUAUAACAUUUUAUUACAAAUACAAUGGUUAACCUAUGGUUAGUGUACCAAAACCAUAGUUAAUUUGUUGUUACUACGGUCUAACGACAAACCAUGUUUUUUGGGGGUUUUAGUUGUACCAAAAAACAGUUAAUUUUUUUGUAAGAGACAUAGCAAUGCAUAACACAUAAAUCACUUUUUUUUUUUUUUUAAACAAAAAGCAUCACGCUUGUCAAUACAGAGAAUCUGCAUGUGGAAAUCUUCAGUCCUCAUGCAAAAUUCCCAAUUCCUUUUGUACAUUUUAUACAUUUAAAUAUGUUAAACCAGAAGCGUGAUGACUGCAACUGCAAAAAAAUAAAAAAAUAAAUUUAUAAAUUAAUAAAACAGCAGGAGUGUUAUUUACCAACAGUUUUAGCAUAUUAGCAAAAAAUUCCAUUAUAUUUUUACUUUAUCAUUCGAAUUUAGCUUUAGGUUGCGAUUCCCCAGUUGGGAACCACUAGACUACAGUAUCUACUCUGCAUGGAGUCAGAACAUAAGGCAGCAAUUAAAGCUUAGUCACAUAUAAAUGCUCUAGAAAACACUAAAGAAAACCACUGGGGAGUGUCUUGAAGUCUUGAAAUAGAGCAACAAUAAAAGAACAAAGGAACAA